AGCCGAAACAACUCCCCAAAGUUCUCUUUUGACUUGCAAAUAUACAUGUUGCCGAGUACUUAAAACUUUAGCUCCAAAUCAAACUGCAAAUCUAUUUCCACUUGAAUCAUCUUGAUCCACAACCCAUCUAAUAGCGAUAGGACUAGUAUCCACAGUAAGAAUUACUUGUCUAUUACAGUCAUAAUCAAUUUUUCUUAAAAUUGGAGGUAUCACCAAUAACACCUUUAGCUUCUACAUUACUUUAGUGUACUUUCUUUCCGAUUUAAAUCGAUUAUCCUUACGCAAUAAUUCAUACAAUGGAUCGACUACAUGAGCAUAAUGAAGAAUCCAUAUAUGAUAAAAUACACAAGCUCCUAAAAACCUGUGUACUUCUAUUAAAGAGUCAUAUGAAUCUUUCAUCUUGCCAAUUACAUCAACUUUGCUUGGACUUGGUUUUCUUCCAUAAAAUCCAUACAAAUGCCCAACAAUAAGAACUUCUUACACUCCAAAUGUAGAUUUUGCUCCUAAAAGUGUAAGAUGAAC
rnacentral:lncRNA from 1 species